rnacentral:lncRNA from 1 species
GAUGCCCAUGUACCAUGAAAGAGAGUUUAAUAUACAUUAAUACAAAUGUAUAAUGUGUUUUGAAAUUUGAAAACAACACUAAAGAUCAUAGGCUUCAGUAUAUAUAGCAUUUACCGAAAAAUUAAAUAUUUCCCUUAGGGGGGUUAACCCAUAGAUUUUGAAAAAAAUUCACAAAAAUGAAAAUUCUAUUUUAAUGCAUAGUUUCAUCCUUCGCUAAAAUAUGAUGAAGGUCAAAG